UUAUUUUUCUUUAUAAGCAUCCAGUUAAAUAUUCAAAUUUGAAUGGGAACGAUACAGCGAAGAUUAGCAUGGCCCCUGGGCAAGGAUGACAUGCAAAUUCAUGAAGAGUUCCAUAUUUUA
rfam:Chlorocebus sabaeus isolate 1994-021 chromosome 9, whole genome shotgun sequence.